UACAGAGGUCUCAAGCGUUGUUCGGAUUCAUUGGGCGUAAAGGGCUCGUAGGCGGCCAACUAAGUCGGAUGUGAAAUCCCCCAGGCUCAACCUGGGAACUGCAUCCGAUACUGGAUGGCUUGAAUUCGGGAGAGGGAUGCAGAAUUCCAGGUGUAGCGGUGAAAUGCGUAGAUAUCUGGAGGAAUACCGGUGGCGAAGGCGGCAUCCUGGACCGACAUUGACGCUGAGGAGCGAAAGCCAGGGGAGCAAACGGGG
rnacentral:rRNA from 1 species